GAUGAACGCUGGCGGCGUGCCUAAUACAUGCAAGUCGAGCGAACAGACGAGGAGCUUGCUCCUCUGACGUUAGCGGCGGACGGGUGAGUAACACGUGGAUAACCUACCUAUAAGACUGGGAUAACUUCGGGAAACCGGAGCUAAUACCGGAUAAUAUAUUGAACCGCAUGGUUCAAUAGUGAAAGACGGUUUUGCUGUCACUUAUAGAUGGAUCCGCGCCGCAUUAGCUAGUUGGUAAGGUAACGGCUUACCAAGGCAACGAUGCGUAGCCGACCUGAGAGGGUGAUCGGCCACACUGGAACUGAGACACGGUCCAGACUCCUACGGGAGGCAGCAGUAGGGAAUCUUCCGCAAUGGGCGAAAGCCUGACGGAGCAACGCCGCGUGAGUGAUGAAGGUCCUCGGAUCGUAAAACUCUGUUAUUAGGGAAGAUCAAAUGUGUAAGUAACUAUGCACGUCUUGACGGUACCUAAUCAGAAAGCCACGGCUAACUACGUG
rnacentral:rRNA from 1 species